AUUGAAUGCUGGCGGCAGGCCUAACACAUGCAAGUCGAGCGGAGCGGCGGACGGGUGAGUAAUGCCUAGGAAUCUGCCUGGUCGUGGGGGAUAACGUCCGGAAACGGGCGCUAAUACCGCAUAAUAUCAGACACGCCUAGGUCGGAUUAGCUAGUUGGUGGGGUAAAGGCCUACCAAGGCGACGACCCGUAACUGGUCUGCGAGGAUGAUGAGUCACACGGGAACUGAGACCCGGUCCAGACUCCUACGUGAGGAAGCAGUGGGGAAUAUUGGACAAUGGGCGAAAGCCUGAUCCAGCCAGGCCGCGUGUGUGAAGAAGGUCUUCGGGUUGUAAAGCACUUUAAGUUGGGAGGCGUUACCCGCAGAAGAAGCACCGGCUAACGCCGUGCCAGCAGCCGCGGUAAUUC
rnacentral:rRNA from 1 species